rnacentral:tRNA from 1 species
AGCCGUGUGGCCCAAAGGAUAAGGCGUCAGACUUCGAAUCUGAAGAUUACGGGUUCGAUUCCCGCCAUGGUUA